rnacentral:lncRNA from 10 species
ACUUUCGUUUUUUAGCAGCAAAGUUUGUUGAUGUACUUUACAACUUAUCUUUUCUGCUUCUACUCAGGACAGUCAAGACAGUGCUCAGCUAGAUGUUCACAUAACUGUAGACAUAAAUGUGAAUCUAUUUAACGCAGUAAUUAAUUCAAAAAGUGUUUUUAGCAUCCUAGCAUGCAUCAGUUGAUAUGAAAGUAGUAAAUGUUAAUUGAGUGGUCUUGUGCAUCCUGGACUUCUCAUCUGUGCAUAUUCUCAUUCUUUGCCUGCAAAGGGCCAGUAAAAGCACAGUGAUGGUUGAACGAAUGUGACAGCCUCCUUUGCUGAUGCCUUACCCCAAGGUAAUUUGGGGAAAGGUUCAGGGAAACAGAGUAUCCAAUCCAAUACUCUGGACUGGGUGCUGGCAGGAAGGAGGGCGAUUGUAUGAUUAAGUAUCAUAAUAAAUCUUACCUAAAAGGAGGGGAGACAAGACCAGUGACUCAUUAACUGGGAUAGGGGAUGUUUGGUCAUUUUUGUGGUUUGGACAAUGUUUACGUUUUUUCAGCAUUCCCACGUGAUUACGAAGGAG